rnacentral:rRNA from 1 species
GUCGACGAUGAAGCCCUUCGGGGUGGAUUAGUGGCGAACGGGUGAGUAACACGUGGGCAAUCUGCCCUUCACUCUGGGACAAGCCCUGGAAACGGGGUCUAAUACCGGAUAACACCGGCUCCUGCAUGGGAGCUGGUUGAAAGCUCCGGCGGUGAAGGAUGAGCCCGCGGCCUAUCAGCUUGUUGGUGGGGUAAUGGCCUACCAAGGCGACGACGGGUAGCCGGCCUGAGAGGGCGACCGGCCACACUGGGACUGAGACACGGCCCAGACUCCUACGGGAGGCAGCAGUGGGGAAUAUUGCACAAUGGGCGAAAGCCUGAUGCAGCGACGCCGCGUGAGGGAUGACGGCCUUCGGGUUGUAAACCUCUUUCAGCAGGGAAGAAGCGAAAGUGACGGUACCUGCAGAAGAAGCGCCGGCUAACUACGUGCCAGCAGCCGCGGUAAUACGUAGGGCGCAAGCGUUGUCCGGAAUUAUUGGGCGUAAAGAGCUCGUAGGCGGCUUGUCACGUCGGGUGUGAAAGCCCGGGGCUUAACCCCGGGUCUGCAUCCGAUACGGCAGGCUAGAAUGUGGUAGGAAGAUCGAAUUCCUGGGGUACGGUGAAAUGCGCCAAUUUCGGGAGGAACACCGGUGGCGAAGCGGAUUUCUGGGCAUUAUGA